UUAAACUAGGAUUAGAUACCCUAUUAUAUUAAAGUUGAAUUUAUAAAUACUGAAUUAUUAAUAGAUAUUUCUUAAAAUUUAAAGAAUUUGGCGGUAAUUUAGUCUUGUCAGAGGAACCUGUUUUUUAAUCGAUACACCACGUUAUAUCUUACUUAUUUUAAGUAGUUUGUAUACCAUCAUUAGUAGAUAAUUUUAAAAGAACAAAUUAUUAAAAUUGAAUAUAUUAAAAAAAUUAGAUCAAGGUGCAGCUAAUAAAUAAGUUAAAAUGGGUUACAAUAAAAUUUAUUUAUACGAAAUAAUUUAAAAAAUUAAAUUAUAAAGGUGGAUUUGAUUGUAAUAUAAGCUUAAUAAGCUUAUAAGAUAUAAGCUCUAAAUUAUGUACACAUCGCCGGUCACUCUCAGA
rnacentral:rRNA from 1 species